GACACUUUGGCGGAGUGGUUAACGCGAUGCCCUGCUACUUGCUGGCUAAGGCAUUUCUUUCGGGAGCGCAGGUUCGAAUCCUGCAGGUGUCG
rnacentral:tRNA from 1 species